rnacentral:rRNA from 1 species
UACAGAGGUCCCAAGCGUUGUUCGGAUUCACUGGGCGUAAAGGGUGCGUAGGCGGUUUGACAAGUCUGAUGUGAAAUCCCGCAGCUUAACUGCGGAACUGCAUUGGAAACUGUUUGACUAGAGGAAUGGAGGGGAGACUGGAAUACUUGGUGUAGCAGUGAAAUGCGUAGAUAUCAAGUGGAACACCAGUGGCGAAGGCGAGUCUCUGGACAUUUCCUGACGCUGAGGCGCGAAAAGCUAGGGGAGCAAACGGG